UAAUACGGAGGGUGCGAGCGUUGUCCGGAAUCACUGGGCGUAAAGGGCGCGUAGGUGGCCCGUUAAGUGGCUGGUGAAAUCCCGGGGCUCAACUCCGGGGCUGCCGGUCAGACUGGCGAGCUAGAGCACGGUAGGGGCAGAUGGAAUUCCCGGUGUAGCGGUGGAAUGCGUAGAUAUCGGGAAGAAUACCAGUGGCGAAGGC
rnacentral:rRNA from 1 species